UCUGCUCAUGAUCUCCACUUCUCAGCAGGUUUUCUUCAUAUUUUAAGACCCAUUAUCUCUAAACCAACUCCUACAAUCAGUUGAGAUGAUCUAUUGCUAUAUAAUGCAGCAGUUUUAAAGAAGUUUUCUAGAAUGUUGAGGCGUAAAUCAUAGAGCAAUUUACACACCAUCAGAAAACUCCAAUUCCUCCGUACCUUUCACCUCUUCCAUAAAAUUUCUAGGUUAUGCGAGGGUUUCUUCCAAAUCCCCUAUCAAAUUUAACCAAUAUGCUCCACCAAACAACCAAAAUCACUUUCUAAUCUCAACCACACUAAUCCAAUCGGUACACACACAAUUGUAACUAGAUGGAUGCGUAUGAGUCGAUCAUACGAAGCGGAUCAAGUUUUCAGUUAUAAUAAACCGUUUAGAGACACUACGUAUACGAAGGUUUUCGUUGGAGGACUUCCAUGGGAGACUCAUAGCAAGACGGGUACUCUGAACAAUCUGCGGGGAUUUUGGAAGCGAUUGUAAUUAUGUAAAAUCAUCCUUAGUUCUGCCCUAAUUUCUUCUCUCACCACCUACCAGAUUGAAGCCUAAAAUCAUCACCAUUUAAUUCCUCGUCACCGGAAACUAUCAUCGUUACCAUAACAUGUUUCAGAGUUUUUAUGUCGAGAUUUGUUAUGACCAACUCCUCUUCGAUGGAGACGAGUUUAUGAGGCUAUAGCGUUUCGGCUUAACAAAGGGCAUGAUAGAGGGGUGAUUACAUUUGCUGAAAACAUUGAAGCAGUGAACAUCAAUGGAUCACUUUCUGAACCAGACUAAAAUGAUGAAGUUCACAUAUUCAUAAUUCAAAUAUUGUUGAUAUUAAAGUAUAUUGAUAUAUUCUUAUGUACUUCAUGCAGGUCUGCCAUUAUUAUUGCUAAUGAAUAUACAUCUAGACUUACUCGCUAUUUAUAUUGAGGUUGAUCACAUGGGUUAUCAUAGCAAAUGGAGACUAUUUUGGAUUGAAUCAAAGUGAAAUAAGAGAUUUGCAUUGUGACAAUCGAAGGAGAACCGAUAACAAGCUAUGGAGGCAAUGUUAGUGGUUUUGACGCCACUGUUGUUGAAUCCAAUAUAUGAUAAGCUUUAUGUCAUGAAGUUCGUGUUCUUGGAACCGUUGUCUAUGAUAUUAAUUACAAAGUCCUGCUUUUUUAAAGAUGAAUAGUUAACACAUUCAUUCUGACUACAAAAGCAACACCAUUACCAUAGUUAUAUAGAUCUUUGGAUAAUACACUUUAGGAGGUUAUAUGCUUGAAAAAUAAAUUCCGAACAACUUUCAAUGCAUCCGUGAUCCUUUUAAGGCAACAACUUUUGGUGGUUCCAACAUCAAUCCAACUACUUAGGAUGGAAAUAAAGGCAAAAGCCAAUAAAUGCGAAGGCGGAUCUAGGUUUCCUGCUCAGAGGGUUGCCUAGUCAAAACUUAUUCGGGACCUUAUCGUCUACAAUCGGGAAUCUUAGCAACUUGCAAUCAGUUACGCUACAGAAUAAUGCGAUAUUUGGACCGAUUACGGACGCAACUGGGAAGCUGCAGAAGCUUCAAACUCUUGAUCUUUCAGGAAACAUGUUCAGUGGUCAGCUUCCUAGCUCUUUUGGCGAUCUCAAGAACCUUAAUUUUUUGCGCAUGAACAACAAUAGUCUUACCGGCUCGAUUCCCUGAUCUUUAUCUGGAGUUGGAGGUCUAACUCUUGUGUAUGUCACUUUUCCUAUCAUCAAUCUUUCUUAAUUACAUAAAGAUGAAGAAGAUGGUGUAGAAGUGAUUAGAGAUGAAGAUUGAAGAAGAUUUGAGGGAAAAACUUAUAAAAAUAGCCUUGAAUUGCGACAGAGUCUUGGGGAGCGGAUGAGAGAACCAAAGUGUUGAAAUGAGACACAAUGACCCUAUUUAUAGGUGAGGGUGGGAAUUUAAGUCGGUGCGCUCGAAUGGGUUCGGAUGGGUGGCAUUCGGAUGGCUCCAUUCGGAUGGCUUCCAUUUGGAUGGCCUCCAUUCGGAUGGCUCCCAUUCGGAUGGGUUUGAUUCGGAUGGUUCCCAUUCGGAUGGCCUCCAUUCGAAUAAGUUUUGGUGCGAUGUAAAUUUCCAAGUUAAGCAUUACGUUGCGUUAAUCAUUGUGGAUACUUUACGCGCUUUAGUGAGAUAAGUAGUAUCGUGUUAGGUUGCGUUUCGGUGCGAUAAACUGAGUUGCGCGUGCCAGCGUGUGCGCAUUUAACAAGUCUUAAUACCAAGAUAUUUAUAGCUAAA